AGAGUUUGAUCAUGGCUCAGAUUGAACGCUGGCGGCAUGCCUUACACAUGCAAGUCGAACGGCAGCAUGAUCUAGCUUGCUAGAUUGAUGGCGAGUGGCGAACGGGUGAGUAAUACAUCGGAACGUGCCCUGUAGUGGGGGAUAACUAGUCGAAAGAUUAGCUAAUACCGCAUACGACCUGAGGGUGAAAGUGGGGGACCGCAAGGCCUCAUGCUAUAGGAGCGGCCGAUGUCUGAUUAGCUAGUUGGUGGGGUAAAGGCCCACCAAGGCGACGAUCAGUAGCUGGUCUGAGAGGACGAUCAGCCACACUGGGACUGAGACACGGCCCAGACUCCUACGGGAGGCAGCAGUGGGGAAUUUUGGACAAUGGGGGCAACCCUGAUCCAGCAAUGCCGCGUGUGUGAAGAAGGCCUUCGGGUUGUAAAGCACUUUUGUCCGGAAAGAAAUCGCACUUACUAAUAUUAGGUGUGGAUGACGGUACCGGAAGAAUAAGGACCGGCUAACUACGUGCCAGCAGCCGCGGUAAUACGUAGGGUCCAAGCGUUAAUCGGAAUUACUGGGCGUAAAGCGUGCGCAGGCGGUUGUGCAAGACCGAUGUGAAAUCCCCGGGCUUAACCUGGGAAUUGCAUUGGUGACUGCACGGCUAGAGUGUGUCAGAGGGGGGUAGAAUUCCACGUGUAGCAGUGAAAUGCGUAGAGAUGUGGAGGAAUACCGAUGGCGAAGGCAGCCCCCUGGGAUAACACUGACGCUCCUGCACGAAAGCGUGGGGAGCAAACAGGAUUAGAUACCCUGGUAGUCCACGCCCUAAACGAUGUCAACUAGUUGUUGGGGAUUCAUUUCCUUAGUAACGUAGCUAACGCGUGAAGUUGACCGCCUGGGGAGUACGGUCGCAAGAUUAAAACUCAAAGGAAUUGACGGGGACCCGCACAAGCGGUGGAUGAUGUGGAUUAAUUCGAUGCAACGCGAAAAACCUUACCUACCCUUGACAUGCCACUAACGAAGCAGAGAUGCAUUAGGUGCUCGAAAGAGAAAGUGGACACAGGUGCUGCAUGGCUGUCGUCAGCUCGUGUCGUGAGAUGUUGGGUUAAGUCCCGCAACGAGCGCAACCCUUGUCUCUAGUUGCUACGAAAGGGCACUCUAGAGAGACUGCCGGUGACAAACCGGAGGAGGGUGGGGAUGACGUCAAGUCCUCAUGGCCCUUAUGGGUAGGGCUUCACACGUCAUACAAUGGUGCAUACAGAGGGUUGCCAAGCCGCGAGGUGGAGCUAAUCCCAGAAAAUGCAUCGUAGUCCGGAUCGUAGUCUGCAACUCGACUACGUGAAGCUGGAAUCGCUAGUAAUCGCGGAUCAGCAUGCCGCGGUGAA
rnacentral:rRNA from 2 species